UGUAUGGGUUAGUGGCGGACGGGUGAGUAACGCGUGGGUAACCUGGCCUGUACAGGGGGAUAACACUUAGAAAUAGGUGCUAAUACCGCAUAACGGGGGAAGCCGCAUGGCUUUUCCCUGAAAACUCCGGUGGUACAGGAUGGGCCCGCGUCUGAUUAGCCAGUUGGCAGGGUAACGGCCUACCAAGGCGACGAUCAGUAGCCGGACUGAGAGGUUGGCCGGCCACAUUGGGACUGAGAUACGGCCCAGACUCCUACGGAAGGCAGCAG
rnacentral:rRNA from 1 species